rnacentral:rRNA from 1 species
AACGAACGCUGGCGGCAUGCCUAACACAUGCAAGUCGAACGAGACCUUCGGGUCUAGUGGCGCACGGGUGCGUAACGCGUCGGAACCUGCCCUUAGGUUCGGAAUAACUCCCCGAAAGGGGUUCUAAUACCGGAUAAUGUCCUCGGACCAAAGAUUUAUCGCCUUUGGAUGGGCCCGCGUUGGCUUAGCUAGUUGGUGGGGUAAAAGCCUACCAAGGCGACGAUCCAUAGCUGGUCUGAGAGGAUGAUCAGCCACACUGGGACUGAGACACGGCCCAGACUCCUACGGGAGGCAGCAGUGGGGAAUAUUGGACAAUGGGCGAAAGCCUGAUCCAGCAAUGCCGCGUGAGUGAUGAAGGCCUUAGGGUUGUAAAGCUCUUUUACCCGGGAUGAUAAUGACAGUACCGGGAGAAUAAGCAGCGGCUAACUCCGUG